AUUGAACGCUGGCGGCAUGCUUUACACAUGCAAGUCGAACGGUAACAGGCCUUCGGGUGCUGACGAGUGGCGAACGGGUGAGUAAUGCAUCGGAACGUACCCAGAGGUGGGGGAUAACGCAGCGAAAGCUGUGCUAAUACCGCAUGUGAUCUGAGGAUGAAAGCGGGGGACCGAGCAGCAAUGUUUGGCCUCGCGCCUUUGGAGCGGCCGAUGUCGGAUUAGCUAGUUGGAGGGGUAAAGGCCUACCAAGGCGACGAUCCGUAGCUGGUCUGAGAGGACGAACACCCACACGGGGACUGAGACAGGCCCAAGACCCCUGGGGUGGGAAGAAGUGGGGAAUUUUGGAGAAUGGGGGAGAGCGGUAUCCAAGAAAGCGGGGGGGGGAAAGAAGGCCUUAGGGUUGGAAACUGAUUUAGGCGGGAAGGAAAUGAAGCCCGUUAAGACGGGGCGAUAAUGACGGUACCAGAAGAAGAAGCACGGGCUAACUCCGUG
rnacentral:rRNA from 1 species